rnacentral:rRNA from 1 species
CAGCUCGUGCCGUGAGGUGUUGGGUUAAGUCCCGCAACGAGCGCAACCCUUGUCGCUAGUUGUAUUUCUCUAGCGAGACUGCUGUGAACAACACAGAGGAAGGCGGGGAUGAUGUCAAGUCAGCGUGGCUCCUACGUCCAGGGCUACACACACGCUACAAUGGCCGGUACAACGGGUCGCGACGUCGCGAGGCGAAGCUAAUCCCUUAAAACCGGUCUCAGUUCGGAUUGCAGGCUGAAACCCGCCUGCAUGAAGUCGGAGUUGCUAGUAACCGCAGGUCAGCCUUACUGCGGUGAAUACGUUCUCGGGCCUUGUACACACCGCCCGUCACAUCAUGGGAGUGGGUAACACCUGAAGUCGUUGCGCCAACUUCGGAGGCAGACGCCGAAGGUGGGACCCGCGACUGGGAUGAAGUCGUAACAAGGUAGCCGUAGCGGAAGCUGCGGCUGGAUCACCUCCUUUCUAGGGA